CAGGUGCAGCCGGCUCCAGCUUAAGACCCGUUGUGGCCUCGUCAGCAGGGCCGGGCACGCCUCUGACUGUCCCACGUGGCUGGGGUGCCUCUGCACAGGGGUGGAGCUCCUCCACACCCAAGAUAGGCCCGGUCCCAGUGACGUCUCUUGGGUGCUCGUGGCCGGCAGGCUUGCUCACUCGCCUCCCCUUGCCGAAACUGUGUCCCGCCGUGGUGGAGACGGCAUCGUCGCCCUCAGACACAGAGCCCAGGCGGGUGGCCACCGGGUUGUGCGCCUGGGGCCUGUCUCCCUGGGUUCAGCCGGCACCCCACCCCUGUCCUGAUGAGACGCGGGUCCCUGGGGCCUGAGUGCCCACUGUGCAUCAGAUGCUUGGGAGACCGGGCCCAGCGGCUGCAGCGGAGGGCCCUCCCGCCUGGGCUCCCCCAUCUGUAGGCUGGGGGCACGCUGCCCUCCUGGGGGGGGGUGCAAGGAGCAUCACAGCAAAUGUAGUUCUUUUAAAAAAUAUUAAGUGCCUAGAGGGGCACCCAGUUCCCUGUCUACCCUGCCCCUUAAUUCACCCACUUUCCUUCCCCUUCUAUAGGAAGUUCAUUUUCCUUGAAAAGAUGAAUAACAUCUUAUUUUGCAAAAUAAAAUUCCCUUUUGUGGGGCGCUUGGCUGGCUCAGGCAGAAGAGCAUGGUCUCAGGGUUGUGAGCUCGCGUUCCACCUCGGGCGAUGGUAGCGGAAGAGCUCUUGCUGGCACACGGGGCACGUGUGCUUCACGUCCAUCAAACUGUCCACACAGAAGGGGAGGAAGCAGCAGCCCAGGAAGCACCUGCGGCCGCAGGAGCAGCGGGGUGUGGGCCAGGGCCCCGCCUCUGGGGGUAGGGGCUCUGUCCUUGCUCUAGCCCUGCUGCCCCCAGGGGCGCGGGGGACCCUGCUGGGGCACCCCUGUCCCCGUGGAUGCUCUGGGCCCCUGCGGAGGCAAAGGGGGCGGGCCACUCACCCGAACACAAAGAGGCCUGUACACAGCAGCCAGGUGAGGACCCCUGGGACCGGGGUGGUCACCGUGAUGACGUAGUUCCCACAGUACUGACAUAUGGACCGUAUGGGGGUGGCAUACCCCAUCCUGGUGAACACUGGGGGCGGAGGAGGGCAGCUCAGACUCUGGCCCCCUCCUCACCCUCCCCCGUGUCUGCCGCCGGCUGGGCCCUCCUGCGGGUUCUCUGUGCUCCCUUGCAUGCCUGGGGCCCCCAGGGUGGGCUCCGGCUUCCCCUCACAGUCCCAUUUCCCACCACCCACUGCCACUGGCCUUUGGGACCCAGGGGCCUCCCUGUCAGGACACCCCAUCUCCCUGGCCAGGGGACCCAGGGAAUGUGUGAUUAUCUCUGGGUUUAAACCAGGCCCCUAUAAUUCAGCGAGCCCCCCGGGAUAGUGGGCUCAUCUGUCCCCUUUUCAGGGUGUCCACGCCAUCAGCCAGAGUGGCUGUGAAGUCCCUGCCCUAGGGAAGAAGCUCUGACACCGUGAAGCAUGGUGGGGAAAAAACAAAACCGAGAACCCACCUGUUGGCAUUCUCAUGUCUUCCUCUUGCAUUUGCACAGUGGGGCCAAAAAAUGUGUGUUUAGCUAUUUAAACAGUGCAGCCAUUUCCACAAUCUUGGGUGUGUGGAGAAAGGAGGGCUCUGGUGGUGGCUGAGUCCCAGGGAGCUUUGUGUUCUGACUAAGGGCUGGGGGUCUGGACAGGCUGUAUGGAGCUUAUGGCCUUUGCAGGUGCCAGUCCCUCUGGGGUCAGGGGGAGGGGGAGCCGGGAUUUGGAGCCCCACAACCUCGACAGGCGGGGGUACAGAUUCCCUGGUGGGGCAGGGAGCUAAGGAAAGAACUGUGUGCCUAGAAUGGGCAUCCCUAAUGGUCUCUCCAGCCACGAGGGGGUCAUCUUCGUCCUGCCCCUGGGGAACGUACAGCCCAGCCCUGCGGUGCUUGACCCUGGGAGACCUUUGGAGUGUUCUCAGUCUCUUGGCACGCUCCUGAACCUGGGCGAGGGGCUGCCGUCCCCUCCUCUGGUUAGGGUGGGGCACGGUGGAGUAGGGAAUGGGGUUUUACCAGUAUUUCACUCCCAAAGCCUUUCUUGAGCCCCCCCGCCGUGGACCAGUCCCCUCCGCCACUGCUUUCAUAUCAGGCGGUGGCACUGGCCAGCCGGGGGGUCACACAGCGGGGCGGGUCUGUGAAGGGCUGGCAGAGGAGGUGCCGUUGGGGCGCGGAGUCUUGGCGAGUGGUCACGGUGGUGUGAGUCUGAGUCCAGGGAAAACAAGGAGGGGAAGGGGGGGUAGAGGCACUCACCCGACCGAACCCCCUGGGGGCCUCGGAUGUACAUCGGGGGGAGAACCUGAGUUCCUGGAGGUGCAGGACCGGGAGGAGGAGCAGGAGGAGGCGGCGGCGGCUCUUUGGGGGAGAGAAAGGAAACACCCUCAGGUCCCAAGGCCUGUGAUGUGCCAGGCGCGGAGCCAACAACGUGGCCAGCCUGAGGUGUCACCCAUUUUACAGGAGGGCAAGCUGAGGCCUGGAGGAAUGAAUGCCAGUGGUUGUACAGUCUAGAUGGAGCAGCUGAGGUUUGAAUCCAGAGAUUUCUGGCUCCAAAUGUGUCCUAUUGUUCUAGGAUGUAGGAGCUUCCUGGAGGCACUGCCAGGAAGCUGAGGAUAUAAAAAAAGCACGGGGCCCAUAAUCUCUGUUUACAAAAAAAAAAAA